UACGUAGGGCGCAAGCGUUAUCCGGAAUUAUUGGGCGUAAAGAGCUCGUAGGCGGUUUGUCGCGUCUGCCGUGAAAGUCCGGGGCUCAACUCCGGAUCUGCGGUGGGUACGGGCAGACUAGAGUGAUGUAGGGGAGACUGGAAUUCCUGGUGUAGCGGUGAAAUGCGCAGAUAUCAGGAGGAACACCGAUGGCGAAGGCAGGUCUCUGGGCAUUAACUGACGCUGAGGAGCGAAAGCAUGGGUAGCAAACAGG
rnacentral:rRNA from 1 species